GCUAGCGUAGCUUAACUAAAGC
rnacentral:tRNA from 1 species